UACGGAGGAUGCAAGCGUUAUCCGGAAUGAUUGGGCGUAAAGGGUCCGCAGGUGGCAGUGUAAGUCUGCUGUCAAAGAAUGAGGCUUAACCUUAUCAAGGCAGUGGAAACUACACAGCUAGAGUACGGUCGGGGUAGAAGGAAUUCCUGGUGUAGCGGUGAAAUGCGUAGAUAUCUGGAGGAACACCGGUGGCGAAGGCGGCGUCCUGGACCAACACUGACACUGAGGAGCGAAAGCCAGGGGAGCAAACGGG
rnacentral:rRNA from 1 species